UGAGAGCUCCCUGGUGGAUCCUCUGAGCACGCUUGCGUCUCGUGGCCUGGGUCUGUAGCAUCUCAUCUUGUUGCUGAUGCACUGCCUCAAUCUCCUCAUGCAGAGUGGGCAGCUCCUCAACCAUCUUCACCAGUACCUGGACUGCGUGUAUGGGCUACGCUUAUUUACAAAGGUCUUUUCAGGCCUCAGUAGCCGCCUUCGUUUGGUCUCUGUCUCUCAAUGCCAGCCCAGUGUUGUCCUCCCUCUGCCAGGCUCCAGCGUGCUACUGAAAUGGGGAGGAUGGUUAUGACAAGCCAGCAGGGGCGGAUGAAGCUGAAACUCAUCAAACCAGUCUGUAGCUGUUCAUGACCAACUGAAGAGCACGAUUCUGCUAAAUCACACUCACUCACUUGUUUUUAUCAUGGCCAUAUUUAGUGAAUAUUGCUAUAAAUAUAAGAGUUUUUAAGUUGAUGGUUGAGCAAAUAUCAGAAUAUAUCACCAAAGACAAAAAGUGUUUCUGCACCGUUUCUCACAAAACGUGUCUGUGAGCUAAAUAAAGAGUUGCUGUAUUUUCCAGCGAGAGGAAAAACACAUUCCUGUGCAACACUGACAGAUGGAGAAAGAUAGGAUAAUGUCCUAAUUCAUUUUAAAGUUAUUUUAUAUCAAAUAUUUGAUCAAUAUAGAAUCCGUUGCUGAAUUAUAAAUUAUGUUAAACGUCUUACAAAACAAAUUAAGUUUUGAUUUGUGUUGUAUUUGCAACAUCAGGCAUUUAUUUGCUUUUCGUUCUUUAAAAAUAAAUGUUGCAAUUUACUUUUUUUUUCUUUUUACAAAUCAAAUAUGGUACAUUUAGUUUUAAAGGGUUAUAUUUACAAUGAUGCAUUAGGUCUGGUUGGUUACUGGUUUACUGGUUAACCAGAGCUACUGGAGCUCACACCUGACCUACCAAAUCCCACUGCCUCAUAUGUUAAUCAAGAAUAAAUGAAAGAAGAAGAAAUGGUGUGAUUAUGUUUUUUAUGUCUUUUUUUUUUACAAUAUCCUGUCAUCUUUUUAUUUUCUUAUGCAUCCCUACUGAAAGCUGUGAUUUUAAAUAAUUUGUAUCCUACAUAAAUGUAUUUGAGCAAAUUUAUGCAAAAGCAAAAAUCUAAGCAACCUAAUCUUACAAAAGACAAAACUUCUAUAAAUAUUUGCCCACUUAGUGACUUCUUAUUCUUUUUUCAUAUUUGCCACAUUUCCAUGACCUGUUGAUCAAGAAUCAAAAAAAUGGUUUCAGGUUGCUUUGCUGCUUCAGUACCCGGAUGACUUGCUGUAAAUAAUGGAACCAUGAAUUCUGCUCUUUACCAGGAAAUCCUGAAGGAGAAUAUCUGGGCUUCAGUUCAUGCCCUGAAGCUUAAGACAAUGAUCCAAAAUACACCAGCAAGUCAACCUCCAAAAGACUCCAACGUGACUAAAUAAAAACAUUUUGGCAAAGAA
ensembl:lncRNA